UACGUAGGCAGCGAGCGUUGUUCGGAUUUACUGGGCGUAAAGGGUGUGUAGGCGGUUCUUUAAGUUUGGUGUGAAAUCUCCCGGCUCAACCGGGAGGGUGCGCCGAAUACUGAGGGACUUGGAGUGCGGGAGAGGAAAGUGGAAUUCCUGGUGUAGCGGUGAAAUGCGUAGAUAUCAGGAGGAACACCGGUGGUGUAGACGGCUUUCUGGACCGUAACUGACGCUGAGACACGAAAGCGUGGGUAGCAAACAGG
rnacentral:rRNA from 1 species